rnacentral:rRNA from 1 species
CCUACGGGAGGCAGCAGUGGGGAAUUUUGGACAAUGGGCGAAAGCCUGAUCCAGCAAUGCCGCGUGAGUGAAGAAGGCCUUCGGGUUGUAAAGCUCUUUUGUCAGGGAAGAAACGGUGUGGGCUAAUAUCCCGCACUAAUGACGGUACCUGAAGAAUAAGCACCGGCUAACUACGUGCCAGCAGCCGCGGUAAUACGUAGGGUGCAAGCGUUAAUCGGAAUUACUGGGCGUAAAGCGUGCGCAGGCGGUUUUGUAAGUUUGUCGUGAAAGCCCCGGGCUCAACCUGGGAAUUGCGAUGAAGACUGCAAGGCUUGAAUCUGGCAGAGGGGGGUAGAAUUCCACGUGUAGCAGUGAAAUGCGUAGAGAUGUGGAGGAACACCGAUGGCGAAGGCAGCCCCCUGGGUCAAGAUUGACGCUCAUGCACGAAAGCGUGGGGAGCAAACAGGAUUAGAUACCCUGGUAGUCCACGCCCUAAACGAUGUCUACUAGUUGUCGGGUUUUAAUUAACUUGGUAACGCAGCUAACGCGUGAAGUAGACCGCCUGGGGAGUACGGUCGCAAGAUUAAAACNCAAAUGAAUUGACGG